UUUGUUUAUACGAUUAGUCUCCGCUUGCAACUCAAACUCUGAAAGCCGCGCGCGGUUCAAUCUCCGUCUGAAUUACGGGCAAAAUGUCCCGCCGAUUGGCUAAAUUGAAUCCGUACGAGCUGCACAAGCACCUGAUCAACGAGUACAUCCUUACGAAACCUGGUGCCACCAAGCUGCUGCAACGGGACACGUCCCGGGACAAAACCGAUCGUGAUGUGCUGAGAGAACAUCAUCGCUUCCUGUGGGAGGACGGCGACACAGUGGACUCGUGGGAGAAACAGCUGGCCAAAAAAUACUACGACAAACUAUUCCGAGAGUAUUGCAUUGCGGAUCUCAGCCGAUACCGGGAUAACAAGGUGGCGAUGCGAUGGCGAAUCGAAAAAGAAGUGGUUGUCGGCAAAGGGCAGUUCAUUUGCGGUGGUCGAUCCUGUGAGGAACGCGAAUCCCUACGCAGUUGGGAAGUUAACUUUGCCUAUCUGGAACAAGGCGCCAAAAAGAAUGCUCUGGUUAAGUUGCGAUUAUGUCCCUCGUGUUCCGAUAAGUUGAAUUACCAUUCCAAGAAGCGAGAAAUCAAGCGCCUGAAGAAGCGCGAGCGGAAGGAAAAGGUUUCUCGGAAGGAUAAAAUUGUGGAGCAAGAUAUCGAGGUGCCAAGUCUAAAUGAUCAGUCUAGAACGGAAAGAACAACACACCAGUGACAGAGUAGCUGAAGAUACAGACAACUUUGCCGAAACACCAGCAACGCGCGAUAGGGAACAUCCUAGCACUUCAGCAACUACAACGGAUGGUUGUUGGACUAAAGGUCCAGAAAUAGAGGAAAAAACCCGAGAGGAAGAAUUUGAUGAAUAUUUGGAAGAUUUGCUUUUGUAAAAUGUAAGUACCUAUUUAAUUACAUUAAAAAUUGAA